UACGGAGGGUGCGAGCGUUGUUCGGAAUUACUGGGCGUAAAGCGCGCGUAGGCGGGCAUAUAAGUCAGAUGUGAAAGUCCACGGCUCAACCGUGGAAGUGCAUUUGAAACUGUAUGCCUUGAGUACUGGAGGGGAUGGUGGAAUUCCCGGUGUAGAGGUGAAAUUCGUAGAGAUCGGGAGGAAUACCGGUGGCGAAGGCGACCAUCUGGCCAGAUACUGACGCUGAGGUGCGAAAGCGUGGGGAGCAAACAGG
rnacentral:rRNA from 1 species